rnacentral:rRNA from 1 species
UACGUAGGGCGCAAGCGUUAUCCGGAAUUAUUGGGCGUAAAGAGCUCGUAGGCGGUUUGUCGCGUCUGCCGUGAAAGUCCGGGGCUCAACUCCGGAUCUGCGGUGGGUACGGGCAGACUAGAGUGAUGUAGGGGAGACUGGAAUUCCUGGUGUAGCGGUGAAAUGCGCAGAUAUCAGGAGGAACACCGGUGGCGAAGGCGGUGGUCUGGGCCGGAACUGACGCUGAGGAGCGAAAGCGUGGGGAGCGAACAGG